UUGAUUGAUUUAUUCAAAAAGGUUUUAAUACCUUUUGAGUCAAACACUAUCGCGGACCUGUCAAAGGUGAGCCUGUCUAAACUGUAAAGCCUUCCUCAUGCAUGCACGUUGUUAUCAAGCCUACAAACCAUCAUCAAAAGAGAAUUAGAAACAACUUCCAGCCCAAACCUACCAGAUUCUCCAUUCUCAAUGGCAAUCACAAUCAGCUGGAUGUUGAUCCCCCUCUUUUCUCUUGCCUUUUUAAUUCUGUGGUUACUGUCAGAAGUUUAUAAGUCAUUUGAACUACCAAUAUAUCUAGUAAUAUUUCUUUGUGACAAUUAUUUAAUUAGGUUUUGGUAGUGCUUUUCUGAAUUUUAAAGAUAGAUCAAAACUACUACUAUUUGGCAAUCAAAUUUAUGCUCACUUGUUUGGUUUUCGUUACUCUUUGAGUAUGAUGGUGAUUAAGGAGGCAAACUGAUUGAUUCCAGCCGAAAGCUGCUAGUAGUAAUUAAUGUCUUUUUAAUUAUCUUCACUUACCUUAUGGUGGUAAAGUAGAAACAUGAAUAAAUUCUGGAAGCUAGCAGGAUAAGACAUAGGUGGUCAGUGGGUCACCAUUAGGUCUCCCAUCUUUGAUUUUGUUUUUAGCCUUUUGGAGCAUUACUAUACUAACAGAAAUGUCCAAUUCAAGUAUGGUGUUCCCUACUCCUAAAGCCUAAAUUUGAGGAAAAUAUUGCAUGUAAGUUGCAUUGGUAGUGCUUAAAAUUCGAACCCCGCCACAUCCCAAAAACAAAUAGGAGUAUCGGAUAAGCCUAAACUUUAGAUAUGAGCACUUUAUGUUGUGCCCCACAAUCAAAUGCUGUAGCAUCUAGGUUAAACUAGGAAAAAUAAUUGACCCUUUUACAAAAUUAAAGGGAGAAACAAAUCACCUUCUUAUCAAGAAUUACGAAUGAAUUUGUAUCAGACAAAUUUGGUUUCCUACAUUCUCAUGCUAUCUAUGCACGUCCUUGACAUAGAGAUCGGCCCAACUGAUGCAGAUCCGAGUAAGGUCGACCCCAGUAAAUGAACGGACCGAGUGACGUGACCCAAGACGACGUCGUUUGAAGCUCUAACUCUACCGUACACUAAGACCACCAACUUCUGUACUCUUCUUUGAUUAUUUCAAGGAAGGUCCCUUGAUAUAUAAAGGGGACCUUCCCUUUGUAAAGGAUCAUGUGUUUUUUGCUACUUAGAAUAUACAACUCUCUCCCUCUCUUUCUCUCUCUCUCUUGUGCAAAGAUUAUUACUUGUUCCAUUACUCUUGCAUCUUAAGAUUUUUACAUCUCAUUAUUGUUACCGAUCUUAGCUCGAUAACACUCUCUAGUCCAUAUUACACUUGAUUCCGAUUUACCCUUUUAUAUUUUCGAUUGUUCUUGAGCUUAAUAAGUAUUCACAUAACUUUUU
rnacentral:lncRNA from 1 species